GGCCUUAGCUCAGGGGUAGAGCGCUUGCCUAGCAUGCCUGAGGCACUGAGUUCGAUUCUCAGCAUGUAA
rnacentral:tRNA from 1 species